CUUGGUCAUUUAGAGGAAGUAAAAGUCGUAACAAGGUCUCCGUUGGUGAACCAGCGGAGGGAUCAUUACACAGUUGCAAAACUCCCAACCCUUUGUGAACGAACCUACCAGUUGCCUCGGCGGCGAGCCUUUCAGGCGGACCGCCGAAGGAAUACAAACUCUUUGCAUUAUAGUAUCUCUGAUUACUUAUUCAAUAAGUUAAAACUUUCAACAACGGAUCUCUUGGUUCUGGCAUCGAUGAAGAACGCAGCGAAAUGCGAUAAGUAAUGUGAAUUGCAGAAUUCAGUGAAUCAUCGAAUCUUUGAACGCACAUUGCGCCCGCUAGUAUUCUGGCGGGCAUGCCUGUUCGAGCGUCAUUUCAACCAUCAAGCCCUAGGCUUGUGUUGGAGCCCUGCAGCUGCCGCAGCCUCCUAAAAACAGUGGCGGGCUCGCUAUCACACCGAGUGCAGUAGUUUACUCUUCGCUCAGGGCGUGUGGCGGGUGCUGGCCGUGAAACCCCCUACUUUUUAAGGUUGACCUCGGAUCAGGUAGGAAUACCCGCUGAACUUAAGCAUAUCAAUAAGCGGAGGA
rnacentral:rRNA from 1 species